rnacentral:lncRNA from 1 species
GAGUUCUGCCUGCCGGGGGCGCGGGCGGGUGUGUGAGAGAGAAGGCGAAGGGAGCCGCGGGGUGGGAGAGGAGGGAGUCCCGGCGGGAGGGCGGGGGAGAGGCUGGCGGGAGGGGGGCUCCACGGAGCUCCAGCCAGGGCCGCGGUUCGCCUGCACGUCACGGCUACUCAAACCCAAGCACGUCCCGAAAGCGGUAUUUUCUGCGUCUGGGAGGUUUUUGCAUCCUCAGUUCCCACCGCUGGGGCUGGCGGCGACCAACUGUAAGAGAAACUCACUGGGAGGCGAGGCAGGGGGGUGCGGAGGAUGGGAAGGCGACUCUGAAGGGUGGGAAGUGAAUGCUGGACUUGAUCGUCUUUCUCUUUCUUUCAGCGCAGACCUGUCGCAGCCAGAGAGCUGUCAUUUCAGUACCGGGAUUCAGAAUUGAUCCAGUCCGCAGCGGAGGGGGCACAUCCCAGCUACCGAGCUGCUGAGUGUCUCUGGCUGGAACAAUAGUAUUUUUUUCUCUGCGAGGCUGCAAUUAACAUCUUAUUUGUUCUGGCUCCAUACAGGCUUUGUCAGGAUCGCGGUGCGGCGACCGACGUUGGGCUCUUGCAUUGCUUUGUGCUUGGCAAUGGAAUCAUGGUUUCGGGGUCUAAACUUUUGUUUCGUUUUGUAGUCUUAAUGUAUCUGAUUCUUUUUCAAGUUUCCCUAGUAACAGGUUUGGGGACGGGGUGGGAAGAAGCGAGAAAAGGGGUGAAGAGAAAAAACCAGAUUAUAUAGAAAGGAAAAAGGGAAAAGGGAUGUUUCCCCACCUUUUAAUCUAACUAUCUAUCUGUCUGUCUAUCUAUCAUCAUAGAUAGUCAUUUUGCCUCCUGGACAGUUGGCUGACGAAGUGUCUGAUAAACCAGCUUCAGAUACAUGCUACAAAAGAAGUCCCACUUUAUCAUUAAUGAUGACAAUAACUAAGGCUGCCAGGAACAGCACAUCUGCUGAGCUUUAUCAACACCAGAUUCUCUCAUUUUGCCUUCUGGAUCUCCAUGCUUUUUUAUACCAACAAACAAGAGGAAGAAUAUUCUCUACCCACUUCCUUGACUGAAGCCUGCUCUUUUAUGAAGACAUGGCAUCUCUUCCAACCGUGUCAAACAGAUGCAAUUUAUAUGUCUGCUGCUUCCAUACCCUGAUUAAAUGGGUCAGUGGCAGAAUCAGUAUCCUUAGUCUCCCCUUUGGUUUCAAAUAUGUACUCCUUAUUUCAGUUUCAUGCUCACCUUUCUGUAGAGACCAAGGCAUCUGCCUUUGCAGCUUUACCUCUUCCUCCAGGUUAUAGUUUCCAUUCAUGGAAUCUUUUAGCUGCUGGCUGGCAGUUUUCCUGUCUACCUGACUUCCAUUCCUCUUCUCAUGACUUCAGCUCCCAUGCAGAUGUCUUAUCCUGACAUACUAGCUUCUCCAUUCUAUUUCUGUGUGUGUGUGUCUGUGUGUUUCCCUACUAGUUCAUCCACAUUUCCC